rnacentral:rRNA from 1 species
GUAACCGAUGAGUGCUAAGUGUUAGGGGGUUUCCGCCCCUUAGUGCUGCAGCUAACUAGCUAAGCACUCCGCCUGGGGAGUACGGCCGCAAGGCUGAAACUCCCAGGAAUUGACGGGGGCCCGCACAAGCGGUGGAGCAUGUGGUUUAAUUCGAAGCAACGCGAAGAACCUUACCAGGUCUUGACAUCCUUUGACAACUCUAGAGAUAGAGCGUUCCCCUUCGGGGGACAGAGUGACAGGUGGUGCAUGGUUGUCGUCAGCUCGUGUCGUGAGAUGUUGGGUUAAGCCCCGCAACGAGCGCAACCCUUGAUCUUAGUUGCCAGCAUUUGACUGGGCACUCUAAGGUGACUGCCGGUGACAAACCGGAGGAAGGUGGGGGAUGACGUCAAAUCAUCAUGCCCCUUAUGACCUGGGCUACACACGUGCUACAAUGGACGGUACAAAGGGUCGCGAGACCGCGAGGUGGAGCUAAUCUCAUAAAACCGUUCUCUGUUCGGAUUGUAGGCUGCAACUCGCCUACAUGAAGCCGGAAUCGCUAGUAAUCGCGGAUCACAAUGCCACGGGUGAAUACGUUUCCCGGGCCUUGUACACACCGCCCGUCACACCACGAGAGUUUGCAACACCCGACUGAG